UGCUGACAUAGUCUCUGCAGUAAGAGAAGAACGGCACUGGGGAGGAGCAGCCGUGCAGGUCUGCCCCUGAGAGGAAGUGUGGUCAGCAUUCCCAUGGAGCCCUGACCGGACCGCUCAGGAGUGGGCAUUCAGCAAGGAUCUUUGUCUGAUAUUCUGAACCCCAGAGUCAUAUGAGAAGAAGAAAAAUGAAUGGAUGAAGGAAUAAGUCUCUUCUUCAACUCAGAUCACAUCAUCAUUCUCUACUCUGUGCUGUGGUCCAGAAGCUGACCUCUAUGGACUAUUUUAACCAGUUUCCCACCACUUUGGCGUCUGUCUGGGCUUCCUGAUGUGAAAUAGGAAGAACAUUCCUUUCUUCAUUUGACAGCUGAAGGAAAUGAAUUAUAGAAUGAAAGAAUUCAGGUGGAAAGAAAAGGUAAAGUACUCUGAACAAUUUCUGGUUAAUGGUAGAGCUAGGACUAAAAUCCAGUCUUGUAAUUGUAGCACAGUUUUUUAAAAUAAUGUAUCAAAAUUCUAUUUAUGAGUUAGAAUACAUAGGCAGUACUGCAUCACAUUUU